AUGAACAAACAAAAAACUCUGCCUAAAAUUAGUGACCUUACUCUGUUGACAUCAGCUCUGGAGAUGGCAUCCUGGUAGCCUUCUGUAGUCCCGGGGAAGAGAGAAGCAAUUCCAAGAACUGAUUCAUCCCAGAUCAAAGGAAACAUCUAGAAGGUUGAGUUGUGGCCUAAAAGUGCACAUUUUCUGCAAUGAAAAGAGAUGACUAACUCAGUUGUAGAUAUCUAUGCCUUACCCUGAGGUUGCUUUUGACUUAGGAGAAGGGCUGGUUGAUUAACUUUGAAUUUCCGAGUUUUUGCAAUGUGACAAAAUUAGUACAGUUACAAUUACCAUUUUACAAGUAUCAGAAAGUCCGGUUUCCUAUUUAAUGGAAGUUCUUAACCUUUGCUCUUUGGUAGCAAGAUGGAUUUGUCACUGUCUGUGUACAGGUUCUGCAACUUCUUAUAUAUUGGAAGAAUUAGGAAAUUGGUAGGGGUCUCAGCCACAUUUUUAUUUGAGAAUCAUAGAACCACAAUCAUUGAAUCGUUUGGAUUGGAAGGGACCUCAAAGAUCAACCCUGCCCUGGGCUGGUUGCCCCCCACCAGCUCAGCUGCCCAGGACCCCAUCCCACCUGGCCUUGAGCACCUCUGGGGAUGGGGGCACCACAGCUCUCUGGGCAGAAGUGCCAGGGCCUCACUACCCUCUGAGUAACAAAUUUCUUCCUAGCAGCUAACCUAAAUCUCCCCUCUUUUACUUUAAAACUGUUCUUCCUUGUCUUAUCACAAUCUGCUAGCAUAAAAAGUCAGUCUCCUCCCUGUUUAUAAGCUUCUUUUAAGUACUGGAAGGUUGCAGUGAGUCUCUCUGGAGACUCUCACUUUCUCUUCUUCGGACUAAGCAAGCCCACCUUCCUCAGCCUUUCUUUGUAGGAGAGAUGCUCCAGCCUUCUCAGAACUCUAUGAAAACUCUAUGUUUUCAAGAUGGACUCCUGUGAAAACAUUCUGCAAGCUUGUUUCUGUGUCCAGAAUAUUUACAAAAUUAAUUAAUUUCCUUAAGUACACUUAAAAGAGAUUUUGUUAUUUAAACUUCAGCUGCAUUGUUGAAUUUGUCCUGAUAUAACCAGAUGACCAUAACACAAUUCUUCAUCUGUUCCAAGCCUGCAAAAUGAGAAGUGAAAAGCAUUUUCCUUUUAAACCAGAGUGAACAAAUUAAAUGGCCAGAAAGAAAGCUCUUAUUCGGAGCAUAGGGUAUAUGUGGUGGCUGAUGCUGUUUAUUUUAAAUUUGUUUUUGUUGCAUGGCUCUAAAUAAUAUCAUUUCAGAUGCUACACACACUGUUAUAAAGUCACUGGAGAACUCUCUUCCCAUGGGAGAAAAUGCCAUUUAAAGUGUUUAUGUUUCCACUGGUGUUGGCUUAGAUCAUCUUUUCUUUGACCUGAUCUGCUGGUUGCAAAGGGUGCAGUACUUGAUCCCAGCUUCUGGACAUAGUGAGAGGAGACCAGACAGCAGUCAAACCCCACAGCCUGAGGUGCUUACUGGCAAAGUCAAACAGAAUAUACUUUUCUCUGCUGUCUAUGUCCUUCAGCAGCUGCUGGUAGCAUGAUUCUCAUUUUACAGAAGGAAGUAUCUGCCUCAGAGGAAAACCUCUAAAUUAGUUAGCUACUAAUCCAAGGCUGCGCUGCUUUUAACUUUGUCCUUUUCCAGGGAGGUCUAGUUAUUCCUCAUCUUGGGGGAUUCACUUUAUUUCAGAUACUACUGUUUUUAACUUGUUGGGGCUUCUUAGUCAGAUUCUUUGUUGAAUAUGUGAAAAUCUUUUCUGAAUAUAUGAAUAUGAAGAUUUUUCUGCAUAGAAUAGUGAAGUAUAAUGAUAGUUGAAGUUGAUAGCGUAGAAAAUAUCUUUUGGAAGAAAGACAAAUUGGACAAAGUAUACUUUUGCUUCUCUGAUCUAUUUUCUGCUGACAAAUAUGCAGACUUUUUGGCUCCUGCCAGGAACCUCCAGUGUUUCCCAUCUUCCUUUUCUGUUCUCCAUCCUAGUGAGCAUGCCCCAAGUGGGCUCUCAUGUUUUUGGAAGGUUUGCUUGGAACUGAUGCAUUAACACAUUUGUCAGUGUGAUUUUUUGAGAGGUGGUGGGACUGCAGCCCUCUUCACCCCCUCCAGAAAAUCCAUAUCUGCACCAAACACAUCCCUCGCACAACCUCCCCCAAAUCAGGCUUCUGGAACCCAAUUGGCACAGAACAAUGAUCUGAUAUGAGAGAAGAGGUUUUUAGUUUUGCAACUAUGAAUACGUAAUAUAAGCUUUAGGAGCCAGGGAUGCUAAUCCACAUUAAUCAUCCAAACAUUUUCAUGAACCCAUAUAGUUGAUUGACUGAAAUCAAUUUAUAAUUCACUGAAAUCCCUUGACAGCAGAAAGGUGCUUGGUGUAUAAAUAACAGCUGAUGUGUCUUCUGUAUAUUAAAGCAGAGCUGACUGAGUAACAGGGAAAUGAGAAGUGCAUUAAUCAGAAUAAAAUGAUGUUUCCUUUUUGUGUCAAAUUAACUGGUAUAUUUACCUCAAAAUUUUUACUAAUCUAUAUGUCUAGAAAAGUAUGCAUUAUUUGAGAGAAAAACAGCAAAGAAACAGAUUUAGACCAGCAAAACAUAAUGGUAAGGUAGCAUAUACAAGAGCUAGGAGGAAGUAGAGUGGUGAUAUACUCAGCAGCUUUCAGGCCAUGCAGAAUUCCAUUCCAUUCCAUUACAUCACCUUGGUGGAAAAUUUAAGCAUUGUUUUUUUGCUGUUGUUUAUUUCUAUUCUAGAGUUUACCUUAGGCCCAUUAAAAAUCACUGUCAUCAUCUUAAUGUCCCUUCUUCAGAAUACGUCUAACCUUAGAGUAACUAGAAGGCUGCAUUCUCCAAUGAACAAAAAAUCCACCUAAAUAAAGGAAAAACCCUGAGAUUCAUGGUUGAUGUUCCUGUGGCUAGUCCUGUUUUUCCACCCAUCUUUCCAUCUGCCUGAGGCUGGCCUCUCCAUUGCACUCACUCACUGGUUUAUGUGGAAGAGUUCCUUGAAAAGACCUGGUUUAAGGAAAUAGAAAAAGACACAUUGCCACUUUUUGCAAAGAAAAAUCAAAAGGUAUGCUUUCCUUGGCUCCUUCAUAUAGACAUUAUUUUUGUUCUUAUUUUCUCAUUCCUAUAAUUGAAAGAGGCAUUUUAUAUGCUGAAAACUGUUGGCAUUUCAGCAAGUUUCUUGAAGCAAAACGACCAAGACACACACAACAAAUAACGGAUAACACUGGACUGCAAUUCAUUUGGACAAUUACACAUAAAUACAUUAAGGGAAAUCACAUCAUUUCCCAGAGAGUUUUCAGCAAGAAAAAUAGAAAAAAAUACUUGGCUCAGUAGAGAAAUUGCUUAUCCAGCUCUAGUAGUAACACAUUUAAGAGAUUAAUUUCUUCUGUUGAAAGCUCUUCCGCAAUGGUAGAUCUGUCCUUUUUCUCCCCUGUGAAAUAUGGAAAUGUGCCUACAAAGAUUUGUGAAAAUAAACAGCAUUCUUUGCCAAAGAAAACAGAAGUUGAAAAUGUCCUGGUUUUAUAUUUAUAUGGAUUAUAUUCCAUUCCCUCCAGAAAUGUAUCAUUUUUUAUCUUAAAGACAUGUGAACUAUAAAGCAAAGUAUUGUUCAAAUGUGUAGUUUAAAUGGAACUUUCAUCUGUUAUGUCACUUUAAGGCUUCUUGAGGGAACAGGCUGUAAGUUGCUAUUGGCAAACCUUAAAAGACGGAAGGCAAAAAAUAUGUUAUUUAUUGACUGUAGACUGUGUGUUUACCCCUGAACAACAGAGGGAGCAAAACAUACUGCUUCCCAGGAGAGUUUAUGUUAGGUGGUAUAAUAUAAGCACACAAAUUUCUUUCAGAUCAACUACAGGCCUGGCUUCAACAAGGUGUUAAAGUAUAGGGUGCACAGUAGGCAUUCAAUUUGUAGUGCAGUAUCUUGGGAAGUUGUGGUGGGAAAAUAUAUAUUAAAGAGGGAUUUGAAAAAGCAAGGGCAUAAAGGGGAGCAGAUACAUAACGAGAUGGUUUGAAGACUAAGAGUCCACUGAGACAACACUUUUCAAGUACUUAAGUGUUUUUUGGUAUUGAACGUUCCUUAGCAAGUGCAAACAUUUCACAUUCUUUCUACACUCUGGUAGUAGCUUGUGAGAAAUCUCUCUGCUCUAUGAUUUAUACAUCUGUUAUACUACUGAGCAAAGGGGUACAUAUUAAAAAUACAUAUAUUUGCAUGGAUCUGAAUUUAUUUGCAUAAAAUUAUCUGGUUUUAUUGCUCAUUUGUUGGCUAUGUGCCUGUCAGACUUCCAGGUUUGAACUGCUUUUAGGAUUCCUGACUCUCGUUCACACACACUAUGUCUCCUCAAAGUCUUGACCUUUCAGCCUUACCUUUAUAUAUUCAGAAAACACCAGAAAAAAAGAUGCAUUAAGUAAGGAAGAACUGAUCUGUGAGAAAGCAAUGACUGAGCACACAUAAGAAAAGAUGAGGAUAUUCUACACAUUAGUGAUUUUCCUUUUCUGAUUUAAUUCCAUUCUACAUUACGCUGCCUGGCCUCUUCUUUAUGAAUGAACUUCUACAAUACAUGGAAUUUGAUUCCAAUCUUCCCAUCAUGAUUUCAAAUUUUUGCUUUUACAUCAUGAUGGCACAACAUUCUCUCACUCAGAAAUUUCCUUAAGUUCUCAUCUGCCCCUUUUCUAGUACUUCCCUCAUGCCCUUCUUGGAGUCCUGAUUUUGUGAAGGGCAAGAGGAGUUCUGGACGGUCUGCAGUGCUCAGCCAAGGGAUAAGGUUGACUUCUUAGGAACAGAAAUAAAAGAGAAACCAGCAGCCCAUCAGCAAUGCAGGGCAUUUUACUAUCAUUUCCAGAAGGAGGUAGAGUGGUUGCCAGACCAGGGAACUCUGCAGGUCCACAUGGAUGCAUGCCAUAGCAAAUUCUUUAUCUGUUAGGAAAAUCUGGAAACAGAUUAGGAAUGAAAUAGGCAUUUUAUAGUCUCUGCAACUUUAUUCUGUGACUGAGUUUCUGUGAUAAAUUCACUCUUCAUAAAAAUACACUCAAGAUACAGUAGGCCAAAAGUUUAAGGAA